UACAGAGGGUGCAAGCGUUGUUCGGAAUUAUUGGGCGUAAAGCGCGUGUAGGCGGCUUUGCAAGUCGAGUGUGAAAGCCCUCAGCUCAACUGAGGAAGUGCGCCCGAAACUGCAGAGCUUGAGUACCGGAGAGGAUGGUGGAAUUCCCCAAGUAGAGGUGAAAUUCGUAGAUAUGGGGAGGAACACCGGUGGCGAAGGCGACCAUCUGGACGGAUACUGACGCUGAGACGCGAAAGCGUGGGUAGCAAACAGG
rnacentral:rRNA from 1 species